rnacentral:rRNA from 1 species
AUUGAACGCUGGCGGCAGGCUUAACACAUGCAAGUCGAACGGCAGCACGGGAGCAAUCCUGGUGGCGAGUGGCGAACGGGUGAGUAAAGUAUCGGAACGUGCCCAGUCGUGGGGGAUAACGUAGCGAAAGUUACGCUAAUACCGCAUACGAUCUAUGGAUGAAAGCGGGGGAUCGCAAGACCUCGCGCGAUUGGAGCGGCCGGUAUCAGAUUAGGUAGUUGGUGGGGUAAAGGCCCACCAAGCCGACGAUCUGUAGCUGGUCUGAGAGGACGACCAGCCACACUGGGACUGAGACACGGCCCAGACUCCUACGGGAGGCAGCAGUGGGGAAUUUUGGACAAUGGGCGAAAGCCUGAUCCAGCCAUGCCGCGUGCAGGAUGAAGGCCUUCGGGUUGUAAACUGCUUUUGUACGGAACGAAAAGGACUGCCCUAAUACGGUGGUCCCAUGACGGUACCGUAAGAAUAAGCACCGGCUAACUACGUGCCAGCCGCCGCGGUAACAC